CCAAACGGCUCCAUGUGCCAAAACCCGGAUUCCAACCCGCCUCCAUUCUUACAGCGAAAAAUCUAGCUUAAACAAGCAUUCCGUAUCCAAUUCAUCAUCGUCCCCAACUCGAUUUCGCGCCGUCAGCAUUAGGGAGAAAGAAUCAAGACACCAUUUCCAAAAGCUCAGGUCGAUGAGCAGCGCCGUUCCCUUCACCGUGUUUCAAAGACUUCGUGUUGUCUCUCUCACGAACAGAAUAAAGGCUUCGCGGGCUUUCAGAACAACAACGCGGCGCCGAAAUCUUCACCGUGUCUCGAUGGUUCCAAAAUCAAAUUCUGGAUUUGAAUUUCAACAAUUUGAAGUCCGAUUCAACUCAAUCUCCAUGUGAGCGUGAAAUUAAAGGGGACGAAAUCGAAACGAAGCAAAGGGAAUUUACCGAUUCGGAGGAAUUCGUUCUGAUCUACUUCUUGCGUUGAGCUUCCGUGUUCGUUGUGGAGUAGCGUUGCAUUGAGGGUGACGUCGAUCUUUUCCGGUAUUUUUUGUCUCGGUUCUUUUUCUUUUCAAGCUUCUUCUUCUACGGGCACCUGUCUCUAUUCCUCUUUCUCGAUUCUUCCUGUUAUGCGUUGUUCUGGAUCACUCUCCGUCUUCUUCUCGAUCUUUUUCUUUUUUGACUACUGUUGUGAACCUUGUUAUGCUUCUGCCGUAUGAUUGUGGUGAGAAUUGUUGCGUGUGAAUGGAAGGUUGGUGGAAUAUUGGGGUAGGUUAGAGGUGAUUGCAGGUUCCGUGAGUGGGAGGAAGAGAAAAUUGUCCAGAUGGUGAAGUGUGAAGCCGUGUGAGAAGAAGAGUGGCUUUGUGAAGAAGUUUUUUUGUGUGGAGGUGGUUUGUUGAAAUGAUGAGGUUGAAGAAGAGAGUUCAAUUCCUGAAGAUGAUUUCUGUUAUGGUCAGUUGGGGAGGUUAUGAAGUUUGUUAGGGAUUUCGGUUGGAGGUUGGUUAGACUUUAUUCAAUCUGUUAUUGAAAGUUGUUUGAGGAUUGUGAGCAGUAGGAGUUUUUGUUUUGCAGGGUGUAGAAAAGAGGCUCUGUUAAGGGUUAUUGUUUUGAGGCUUUUUCGGUUUAUUUUCUCGAGCAGUGGAUGGCUACAGAUUUGACAAUGAAGAAGUAACAUCCGUCUACGUGAGAAACCUGCCUGCUGAUAUUUUCCUACACAUUUGUCAAACUAGAGGAAUGACUUAUUUCCAUCAUCAUAAAAUAAGCCUCUUGAUCCAGGAACAAAGUGGUGGAUACUGCAUGUUUGGAGUCGGUAUUGGAUUUCAUGAGCUUGGCUUUGGAUGCUUGGAAUGGCUAGGAUCGAUGGUGUAGUCUUAUGAGAAGUGAAAGGCUUGACAUUUCUAUGCUUGGAAUGCAUGGACCCGGUCCCCAUUGGCUAUGUGAAGUUAUAUGGAUUUGAUGAUUAUGGAGCUAUUUUUUAGAGUUUAGAUUUAUUUUGUAUAGUUGGUUUAUCUAGUGAAUUUAAAAUGAAUGUAUGUGGUUGAAUUGAUAUUUGUAUUUCUGUAUGGUUUAUGUAUGGAUUGAAACUUUGAAUGGAUUUUAGAAAUCCAAUGUAUGGUUGAAAUUGUAUGUAGGAAUUUACUGUAAUUUUGUAUGUAGUUCAUGGUUUUAGUUUUGAAAUGUAAUUAGGAUUGGAAUGUUAAUGGAUGAGAGUUAUUAGGGUA